rnacentral:rRNA from 1 species
CCUACGGGAGGCAGCAGUAAGGAAUCUUGCGCAAUGGGCGAAAGCCUGACGCAGCGACGCCGCGUGGGCGAUGAAGGCCUUCGGGUUGUAAAGCCCUUUUCUGGGGGACGAGGAAGGACGGUACCCCAGGAAUAAGUCACGGCUAACUACGUGCCAGCAGCCGCGGUAAAACGUAGGUGGCAAGCGUUAUCCGGAAUCACUGGGCGUAAAGGGCGUCUAGGCGGCCAGAUAAGUCAGUAGUGAAAAACCGCAGCUUAACUGCGGGACUGCUAUUGAAACUGACUGGCUUGAGGGCACCAGAGGAGAGCGGAAUUCCCGGUGUAGCGGUAAAAUGCGUAGAUAUCGGAAGGAACACCAGUGGCGAAGGCGGCUCUCGGGGGUGCAACUGACGCUGAGGCGCGAAAGCUAGGGGAGCGAACGGGAUUAGAUCCCCGGGUAGU